rnacentral:rRNA from 1 species
UACGUAGGGUGCGGGCGUUAAUCGGGAUUACUGGGCGUAAAGCGUGCGCAGGCGGUUUGCUAAGACAGGUGUGAAAUCCCCGAGCUUAACUUGGGAACUGCGCUUGUAACUGGCAAGCUAGAGUGUGGCAGAGGGGGGUGGAAUUCCACGUGUAGCAGUGAAAUGCGUAGAGAUGUGGAGGAACACCGAUGGCGAAGGCAGCCCCCUGGGCUAACACUGACGCUCAUGCACGAAAGCGUGGGGAGCAAACAGG